GACGAACGCUGGCGGCGUGCUUAACACAUGCAAGUCGAACGAAGUGGCGAACGGGUGAGUAAUGUCUGGGAAACUGCCCUUCAGAGGGGGACAACAGUUGGAAACGACUGCUAAUACCGCAUACUGAAGGAGGGGAUUGCGGCUGAUUAGCUAGUUGGAGGGGUAACGGACCACCAAGGCGAUGAUCAGUAGCCGGUAUGAGAGGAUGACCGGCCACAGUGGGACUGAGACACGGCCCAGACGCCUACGGGAUGCAGCAGUGGGGAAUCUUCCGCAAUGGACGAAAGUCUGACGGAGCAACGCGGCGUGAGUGAUGACGGCCUUCGGGUUGUAAAGCUCUGUUAAUCGGGACGCGGUACCGGAAUAGAAAGCCACGGCUAACUACGUGCCAGCAGCCGCGGUAAUUC
rnacentral:rRNA from 1 species